UACAGAGGUGGCAAGCGUUGUUCGGAAUUAUUGGGCGUAAAGGGCUCGUAGGUGGCCAACUAAGUCAGACGUGAAAUCCCUCGGCUUAACCGGGGAACUGCGUCUGAUACUGGAUGGCUAGAGUUUGGGAGAGGGAUGCGGAAUUCCAGGUGUAGCGGUGAAAUGCGUAGAUAUCUGGAGGAACACCGGUGGCGAAGGCGGCAUCCUGGACCAACACUGACGCUGAGGAGCGAAAGCCAGGGGAGCAAAGCGGG
rnacentral:rRNA from 1 species